GACGAACGCUGGCGGCGUGCUUAACACAUGCAAGUCGAACGGAAAGGCCCUGCUUUUGUGGGGUGCUCGAGUGGCGAACGGGUGAGUAACACGGGAGUAACCUUCCCUUGACUUUGGGAUAACUUCAGGAAACUGGGGCUAAUACCGGAUAGUAGCUCCUGCUGCUUGGUGGGGGUUGGAAAGUUUCGGCGGGUGGGGAUGGACUCGCGGCUUAUCAGCUUGUUGGUGGGGUAGUGGCUUACCAAGGCAUUGACGGGUAGCCGGCCUGAGAGGGUGACCGGCCACAUUGGGACUGAGAUACGGCCCAGACUCCUACGGGAGGCAGCAGUGGGGAAUAUUGCACAAUGGGCGGAAGCCUGAUGCAGCAACGCCGCGUGCGGGAUGACGGCCUUCGGGUUGUAAACCGCUUUCGCCUGUGACGAAGCGUGAGUGACGGUAAUGGGUAAAGAAGCACCGGCUAACUACGUG
rnacentral:rRNA from 1 species